CCCUUAGAUGUUCUGGGCCGCACGCGCGCUACACUGAUGCAUUCAACGAGCCUAGCCUUGACCGAGAGGUCCGGGUAAUCUUUGAAACUGCAUCGUGAUGGGGCUAGAUUAUUGCAAUUAUUAAUCUUCAACGAGGAAUGCCUAGUAAGCGUGAUUCAUCAAAUCGCGUUGAUUACGUCCCUGCCCUUUGUACACACCGCUCGUCGCUCCUACCGAUUGAGUGUGUUGGUGAGGAGUUUGGAUUGGCCUCGGAAGGUGGUUCGCCACCGUCCGUAGCUGAGAAGUUCUCCAAACCGCCCCACUUAGAGGAAGGAGAAGUCGUAACA
rnacentral:rRNA from 1 species